UACAGAGGGUGCAAACGUUGUUCGGAAUUACUGGGCGUAAAGCGCGUGUAGGCGGUCUCGUAAGUCGGGUGUGAAAGCCCUGGGCUCAACCCAGGAAGUGCACUCGAAACUGCGAGGCUAGAGUACUGGAGAGGUUGGUGGAAUUCUCGGUGUAGAGGUGAAAUUCGUAGAUAUCGAGAGGAACACCGGUGGCGAAGGCGGCCAACUGGACAGAUACUGACGCUGAGACUCGAAAGCGUGGGGAGCAAACAGG
rnacentral:rRNA from 1 species